rnacentral:tRNA from 1 species
GCCGAGGUCGACCAGGCGAAGUCGUGGCUUGCCAAGACUGCCAAGGACUACGGGAUCGGCGCGGGAUGGCUCGUCGUCGCCCUCGCCGUUCUGUUCUGGACGAUUCCCGUCUUCGGCA